GAGGAUGUAGCUCAGAU
rnacentral:sRNA from 1 species